UACGUAGGGUGCGAGCGUUGUCCGGAAUUAUUGGGCGUAAAGAGCUCGUAGGCGGUUUGUCGCGUCGGCCGUGAAAACUUGGGGCUUAACCCCGAGCCUGCGGUCGAUACGGGCAGACUUGAGUUCGGCAGGGGAGACUGGAAUUCCUGGUGUAGCGGUGAAAUGCGCAGAUAUCAGGAGGAACACCGGUGGCGAAGGCGGGUCUCUGGGCCGAUACUGACGCUGAGGAACGAAAGCUAGGGGAGCAAACAGG
rnacentral:rRNA from 1 species